GAGCGCAAAGGCAGAACAGCCUGGGCUGGGGUGGAGGAGCUGCCUGGCUGACUCCUCUAACAGGGACUAUCGGCAUGAAUGCCCCAUGAAACUAAAGCACAGCGCUGCCUGGAAACGUAUGACCACAAGGUGAACCAGGGAGAGCUGUCAGCAAGAACAGCAAGAGGAGAAAUCCCAAACCACUCGGUGGAGUGGUAGGAAGAAGAUUGUUUAACCCACCAGGUGCAGGUGGACACCUCUGAAACAACAGGAUGGGGAAGUCUGGACACAGGAACACCUAGGAUGUGAGUGCAGAGCCUGCGAGAAAACCCCAGAAACACAGGGCUCACCUUCACUUUCCAGCACCAUCCACUGUCCAUCCCUGGAGGCAGAAAACAAGAUGUGAUGAGCCAAAAGUCUGAUCUGGGGUGGCAGAUCCAUCUUUGCCAUGGGAAAAACAGAUACUUCACUACAAAAUGACAUCAUCUUUAAUAGCGUGGGAUCUGUCACCAGCAGCUGUAAACAGAGACUGAUUUACGAGCCAAGCAGCUUUCUCAGACAGCAAGACUUGAUUCAAAUUUGUGAUCCUAGACCUUUGUAGAAGACAUCUUAAAGUACCCUGACUUCAUGUAACUCCUUUUAAAGUUACCCAGCAACAAAUUUCCCCAGACUCAGCAAAUCUUCUGACCCUCUCACCUGGCGAUUUCUACUUUACCAACAGUUACUUGGGAAAAUCUCUCUGAUGCCAGGGUCUUUAAAAUGAAGGCUUACAUGCAGGUGGGGGCCAGUUCUGCAGCACUUAAGGCUCCUGCUCAUUUCACGCUAUGUCAUAUGCAUUGCUCUAACAUGCCUCUCUAAAACAUUGUGACUGAUUUUGGACCCUGAGCACAGACUUGCGUUCCAGCAGUUGAAGUGCAUGCCGUGGGCUCCAGCCUCACACCUCCCUGGGGCUGGGGAUGCCGCUCGUGCAUUCACAGCCCCCACGACACAGCCUGUCUCCCGCUGCAGGGCUUUGUACGUCAGGCUGGGCUGAUGUGAUCUGCCAACACUGAUCUCGCUCCUGUACAGUCACGAAGGGGGAGAGAGAGAGGUGCUGCCUUGCAAUUGCAAGGGGCACCCUGCAAAUCACUCUACAAGGCAGCACUCUCCUUAGGGACAACCGAGACCCAUAUCCCUUUGCACUGGAGUUGUCUGAUGUAUCCCCCGCUGUGAUGCCCAAUACAGUGCUAUCUCAUAGAGCACAUAAGGUGAUGCUGUAAACAAAUGUGUUACAGCAUCUCUCUGCGACUGUGGUUGUGUGCAGAUAUGAGAAAACUGUCAACGUAAGACAAGUUGCCCAUUAUGACAAUGCUUUAUAUACUAGAGCCUUCCAGCUGAACGAUCUUAACAGCAUAAGAGUGGCUUUAUCUGGCUUAGUUUAAGUACUUCCAAAUUUGACAUAAGAUAAAACAGCAUAGGGCUUCUCAUAUUAAAAUAGCUUAUAUUGCUAGACUGGUAUAAACUUACGCCUUAAAUUAUACCAAAAAUUUUAAUGCGCCACUAUCUUACAUGCAAACAAGACAGUAGUAUUUCAAAUAGAGACUCAGAAUCAGCUCCUGUAAAUUUUAGAGGCUGUUCCCUUGAAGGGGUUUAUUAAAUAAACCCUAAGAACAAACAGGAGGCAAAUGACCCCUUACAGAAGAGUAUUACUGAUGAUCUUUACCCUACAGGAGGAUGACAGCGGAAUGCUUAAGCAGUGCUAGUGCUGCAGCUGAACUUUGAAACACUGCCACCUCACGUCGGCUUAGCAAGGAGCACAAUCCAGGCCAGCCUCCCAGUGCCCUUGGUAGAGAUUCCCCUGGUGUUUGCCUGCCAACAUAUGGCACAGCAGCCUCCCUCCCGGAGGCAUUGUUGUCCACAUUAUUGUUGUUAUUUUUUAAUUGAAAAUCAUUAAUAAUGCCCAUUACUGCUUUACAAAGACAGCACGCACUCUCCCUUUGCAGGUUAGGCAUCCAGAAAAAAUGAGCUAUAAAGCCAGAUACUGGUAUUUGCUAUUUCACCCUGGUAUCUCCAUUGCGUUGGAUACACGGGCUUCUCUUGAGAAGGUGUGAGGCACCAGAAUAUCAUUCCUCCUUCUUCCUGACUCCACAGAAAGGCUUCAGGGAAAAGCUGGACUGGACAGACGCUCACGGCAUGCCGAGGCCAUGACUCCAAAGGAGAGCUGUCCCCCACAGACAGAUUUCCCUUGAGGAAGGGCAGUAGUGUAGAAACGCCUUUCAGGCCCUCUCAGCUGCAGGCAGAUGGACGGAGCUGCUCGGCCAGGAAAACGGAGCUCUGAGCGGUGCUCAGAGGCUCUAGUGCAUUCUGCAGUGGGGCUUGCUUUAUUUUCCACAACUUCUGAGCAAGAACUGAAGCGUCUCUCUUCUGUAUCAGGGACACAACCAGUGAGCAACUUCUGGCAUGAUUAUUGGUUUUAAUAUACAGCAGACAGCUAAAAUGGGUGCUGUGAUUUUGUGGUCAAUAGGAAUGCUUCUGUGUAUAAUGCUUUGGUUAUCCAACUCUUCUGCAAAAGGAACUUUUUUUUAGUACCUGACCCAUGUUUAGCAGUGUUUACAUUACAGGAUGAAGAGCAGGACUGAGACUCUUCGUGUCUCUAUUGCUGGCUAAAAGACUUCAGCACAAAGCAGCCAAACUUCUUAGGAAGAGCAGAGCUUGGGGAUCUUUAUCCAGUGGGAGCUGGGUCCAUCCAGACUGCAGCAAUGUGCGCAUCAGCCCUACCAGCAAAGUCGGUGUGGAGGUUCCCCUCCCAGCAAGACCUAAGGACUGCCUAAGGUGCCCUUUUCACAUACGAUCCCGCCUGAAAACAAACCACUUCUUGCUUUUUGGACAGUUAGCUUUCAGCCUGUUUAGCUUUCAGAGCCAGCCCACAACACAAUCACUCUAGUGCUGGUUCAGGGUGAUCGGAGAGGGAAGGAAAGGUAUAAACCAGGACAGAAAGGAACGUUUUCUCCAUUGUCUUCUCUGGGUGGUAUAAUAAACUUUCUGAUUUUUUUGUGUG